GAACCAGACUCCUACGGGAGGCAGCAGUGAGGAAUAUUGGUCAAUGGGCGCGAGCCUGAACCAGCCAAGUCGCGUGAGGGAAGACGGCCCUACGGGUUGUAAACCUCUUUUGUCAGGGAGCAAGGUGCAGGUCGGGACCUGCUGUGAGAGUACCUGAAGAAAAAGCAUCGGCUAACUCCGUGCCAGCAGCCGCGGUAAUACGGGGGAUGCGAGCGUUAUCCGGAUUUAUUGGGUUUAAAGGGUACGUAGGCGGCGCUUCAGGUCAGCGGUGAAAUACCGGGGCUCAACCCCGGGGCUGCCGUUGAAACCGGAGCGCUAGAAUUCCGAUGCCGUCGGAGGAAUGUGUGGUGUAGCGGUGAAAUGCAUAGAUAUCACACAGAACACCGAUUGCGAAGGCAUCUGACGAAUCGGAGAUUGACGCUGAUGCACGAAAGCGUGGGUAUCGAACAGGAUUAGAUACCCUGGUAGG
rnacentral:rRNA from 1 species